rnacentral:misc_RNA from 1 species
AAAACUCGUUUGACGUAAUGUCAAAAUUUAAAUCAAUUUGUUUGUUUUCUUUAAUGUUUUUGGUGUUUACAGUGAUGAAAAUUAAAUUGAUCGACUCGUAAGAAGUAAAUUUUAUUUACUUCCUAAUCCAUAUACGAUGUUAUCUUUAUCACAUAUAUGAUAAUUUUCAGUCAGUCUGAGUUUAAUAAAUGUAGAACUGUUAACCCUAUUAUUUUUCACAUUCAGGAACCCCUAAAUACUAAUAAAAAUGGCCAAGCACAAAAAUCUUCAAAAAGAACAAAAGUCAAUAAGUAAAUGGAUUUACGGUUUAGGAUUAUUAAGAAUUUUUUUGGUUUUGGUGCCACAGACUGGCUAUGUGCAUCCUGAUGAGUACUUCCAAUCCUUAGAAGUUUUAGCAGGAAAAGUGUUUGAUGUCGAAUACAGUCCUCCGUGGGAAUUUAACACUACUCAGCCCAUUCGGGGCAUAACAAUACCCUAUUUCACCACAGGACUGAGCUACAUCUUUCUCAGGGACAUAAGAAAUCUAGCAUUAGAAUAUUUAUCUGUAAAUGUAGUUACUCCCUAUUUUCUGUUGGUUGUGCCCAGACUGCUUGUAACAGUGUUUUCAUUUAUCGUUGAUUACUGUUUAAUGAAAAUCUGCAUAAAUAACAAUGAAAAAUUCGAAUCUCGUUUAAUAAUCUUGGGAACGUCCUAUAUUAUGCUUUUGUAUGGUACGAGAACCUUUUCAAAUACCACUGAGCUGAUCUUAUUUUCUGUCUUAUUAUAUUUUGUUUGUGAGAGUCAAACGUUUUCAAAUGAACUACUUCGUAAAGAAGAAUAUAUUAAGUAUAGAUAUGAUAAAAGUAAUUCUAUUGUAGAGAAAGCGAAAUUCCAUAAACUUAAAUUGUACCUAGUACCAGAUAAUUAUAGAAACUGCGUAAUAAUUGCAAAUAUAACCAUAUUUGGAGCAUUUAAUAGACCAACUUUUUUAAUAUAUGCGGUAAUGCCAGUUUUCUUUUGGAUAUAUCGUGGGACAGCCCACAAAAGAGUAUCUGUAAUACAAUUUCACACUAGAAUUCUAUUUCUAGCGAUUUGCAGCAUUCCUUCUAUAAUUUUUAAUAUAAUUAUAGAUUCCUUUUUUUAUGGGUACUUAACGUGGGGUGAAAUCGGCAUGCUUGAAGUUUCAAUGGACAAUUUUGUGGUCACCCCCCUUAAUUUUAUAAGAUAUAAUUCACAAACAUCAAAUUUGGCAAGACAUGGGCUACAUCCAAGGUUUUUACAUUUAUUGGUAAAUAUUCCUUUGCUUUUUAAUAUCAUAGGAGUUAUUGCACUGUUUACUUUAUUAAAAUACAUAUAUUGGAUCUGUCAAAAAAAAUUUCAAAUGCUGCCAUCAAUACGAAGCAUAAAACUUCUUAUGACAACAUCUUUUAUAGUCCCAGUUUUCAUACUAUCAAUAUUUCCGCAUCAAGAAUCGAGAUUUUUGAUCCCGAUUUUACUUCCUUUGGUUUACUUACAUAGUGAAAGUAUUUUACCGGAGCCAGACAAUAUCUUGGUGCAGGUGCCUAGAGGAUCAAUCGAGGAAAAGCGCAAACAUACCGUUGUUAAAAAAACUUCUAAAGCGUUUAAGAUGUAUUUGUUUUUCAACUUUAUAUUAUUGGGCGUUCUCGGGUUCCUGCAUCAAGGCGGCGUAUACGAAGCGCUAAACUACUUACAUAAAGAUAUGAAAUUCGCAUCAAGAAAUACCGAAUUUCAUAUACUAACUAGUUAUAUGUACUCGAUGCCACAUUCAUUUUUGUUGCAAAAGUCUCCGGACAAAGUGUUUUCUAACAAUAAAGUAAAAUAUGCGGUAAAGAAGAGAGUUUUUCUGUAUGAAAUGGGAUUUCAAGAGUUUGACCCUGUGGUUGAAGAAUUAAAAACUAUAAUUACAGCCAAAGAAAUAUUGGAGAGGAACAUAAAUCAUAAAACAAAUUAUAAAAUUUAUAUAUUUAUACCUUACUCAAAAAUCCAGGAAGCUUUUACAGCUUUUUUUAAACAUCGGAUAGAUGCAAGGCUUAUUGACAAGCUUUGGCCGCAUUUUACCACAGAGAGCAUUCCUGAUUUAGCUCACGCUUUCUUUUACCCCAGCCAGCUCGAUCAAGCAGCUGGAUUUGACUAUUUAACGAAACUGUGUGAGGUGUUUGAACUUUAUUUGUAUGAAUUAAGCUUUAAUAAUCAUACUAAAAUAUUAAUUAAGGAGAGAUUUUUAGAGUAUUAGUAAGUUAUAAGGGUCUGUCUGGUCAAUUCAGGUCUUGGGUGCGGAAAUUAAUGUAUUAACUUGUAAGAACAAGUCCAAGUUUAAAUGAGGACGAUAGUGUUUGCCCUACUUUCUUUCUAAUAACUAAAGUUUGACCCCAAUUAAAAGUAUUUUGUGCGAGUUUUGUCAAAAAUACAUUUUUCCUUUCAUCAGGCCGCGUAAAGGUGGCCACAGACUGGUGUAUAUAUGUGUCAUACACGAAUGUUAAUACAUGUACCGUCAAUGCGGGUGACUUGAUAACAAUUUUGACAUGUUCAUCCCUCUACGAGACAGAAUAAAAAAUUAUUGGUUUGCAAAAAAAUAUGGAAAACUUGCACAUAAGUUUGGGGAAUAUAUACAUCGGAAAAAAACUUUUAAAUUUCGUUUAGUUUAAAAAAAAAAAAAUAAUAAUAAACCGAAAAUUUUAAGUCACCCGCAAUACGGGUGUCUUGAAAAAUGGGAUUUAAAGUUGUUUAAAAUGAAAGUCACCCGCUCUAAAGGGUGUAUCGAAACAAAAUUAGUUAAUUAAAAUUAAUUUCUUUGGUUGUACCAAUUAUAAAACAUUAUUUUAUAUAAAAAAUAUAAACUAAAUAUAGCUUAAACACUAUUCUAAUUUAACAUUGUUUAAAAAAAAAAAAUUUAGUGCUUAACUCUUUAGGACGCUCAAACUUCCUGAUCACAUGCUCCAUAGUAAUGUCACUAAUAUCUGGCUUAAGGGGAAAAACAAAGGCAUCUUUGAUUUUUUUCAGAAGGCCUAAGAAAUGAGCAAUGUAUAAAUCUUUGGUCUACUUCCAUUACUUUUGCCAGAUAUCUUUGUUGCUUUUUCUUUAAUGUAUAGUAAACUCUACCAAGAUGAAGUCCCCUUCUACCAAGUUGUCUAGAGCGAUUUGCGCUUUCUCGACUUUUUGUAAGUUUUCCGAGUUAAUGUAAUUUUUUUCUUGCACUGGGUUUACAAAGCAGGGCAGCUCAAUAUCUUCAAGUUCCUCUGAUCCUUUAUUUGACAAUAUAUCUUCUUCUGGCUCGAUUAUAGUUUCUUUUUCCGAUUCCGAAGAACUUGAAAUCUUUUGAUCUGUAACGCUUUCUCCGGGCGCCACUACCAAUUUCUUACGGUUGAUUUGUUUGACUCGCGGUUCUUUAAAUCUGGAUUCCUUAAAAAGAGAUGUAACUGACUCUGCAACUAAUGAUGUAACACCAUUAUUGGCGUCAGUCUCAUUGUCGUCUGGGACUUUAACAAGGACCUUUUCUCGGUUAAGCGGAUAUAAACCUGUAGCCUCAAAUCCAGAUUUGAUAUUUUUUACCAACUGUGAGAGCAAUCGAUUUGAUUGUCCUGUUCAGAACUCGGGGAAAAUGAUCUUUCUGUAGCACACCUGGAUUUGACAUUUUCCAUUUUUUUAGCUGCUCUCGCCAGGCAUCUUGUUUGGUCUGAAACAGGACACGUCAAGGGGUUGUGUCAAAUGGGUACUGUUUGCUGGUAAGAAAAUGAAUCUAAUAUUUUCUUCCUUGCAUUUUUUUAUUACAGCCUCUGACAAAUGACUUGCUAGAUUGUCCCCAAUGAUAGCUUUUGGGCAAUCUAGACGUCUAUAAUAAGGAACAAUGAUCUUGAAGAACCAAUCCUCAAACAAACUUUGAUCGAACCACCCAGACUUGCUGCGGUUGUAAAUACAACCUUCAGGACCACUUUGAGUCCAAGUGGACCACAAAUUUUCAGAUUUGUAGACAACGUAUUGAGUUAACAAAAGUCCAGCCGCUGUUACAGAGAACAUGACUGAGUGGGCAGACUUGGUGGAAUCACAAACUUUCUCUGCGUGCUUCAUGGUUCUUCGUAUAACAACUUUAGGCCUUCCGGGAUCAUCAACAAAAUUUGUUUCGUCAUAGUUUAUUAAAUUCUCUGGUGGUACGUCUUUGAGAGAAACUCCCAAUUUAUCAAAAUAUUCAUAUAAAACUUUUCCUGAGACACCUGCCCUAGAUCUUUUUAUAUUUUCAGCCAAACGCACCUUUAAUACAUCUUUAUGCCUUGUAAGAAAGUCCGUGCACCAAUCUUUUCCAGGUAUGUUAUUAGAAAACUUGGUCACCUGUUUGCCGGCUCGAUCCAAGUAGUUUUUAACUAAUAAUUUUAUAUCCUCCUUCUUAUAUGGAUAGUCCCAUACUGCCGCCGUAACAACAGCUGCUACAAUGGCAUUUUCUUCUCUUUUACUUAAAACAGGUUGUCCUCCAAACUUUUUCUUUCUUUAUUCUUAAUCUUCCUCCAUAGGGUCACCAAAGGAAUGUUAUAUAUUUGAGAAGCCUCGGAAUAGGACAUCCCAUCUCUAAUUGCGGCUAGAGCACUUUCUAGGUUGUCAAUUGUAUAAUUCACAUAUCGCCGUCCGCCAAUUUUGUUCUUAUAUUUCUGUGGCAUGAUUUUUCAAGUCACCCUAAACAUAUAACCAAAAGUUAAACAAAUUUAAAAAAAAAGUGAAACAAUUUUUUAAAGCAAAACUGUGAUGACCACUUCAAAAAAAACUAUUUUUUCCAUCUAAUAUUAAAAAUUCAUACCUUUGUCUGAAUUCCAACUAUGGCUCAGAAGUAAAAGUUCUAGAAGUUUACAAAAUCAACAAUUUUAAUUAGAUACUUUGACCUACGGCUCGGCACACUAAUUCAGAAUGGCGCGACAAGUUUUAGCCUAAAAGUAAACAAAGGUCAAAUGCGCGGUCAAAUGCGGUACCAAGGUCAAAUGCGCGGCAGUUCUUAUGUGCAUUUAGGUAAUAACUUAAAUAUCCGUCCGACCGCGUAAAUUUUUUCACUUCACCCUCUGAUUAUAAGUCACCCACUUUGACGGUAUGUCAUAUAUGUACGGCGUUGCACUGUUGUCCCUAGACAAUGUUACUUGGGUGUAGUAAACAAGUAGUUUCAUUGUAAACGAUGAGUGAUGAAGACGAGUUCAUGUUUUUAUCAGUUAAAAAACAGCAUCAAGCACGUACCAAGUGGGCGAAGCAAUGGCUUUUAAAGCGACAAGAUUUUAUACAUAUAAAUUUACUGGAAGAAUUACGCCUACAACCUGAUGUUUGGAGAAACUAUCUGAAGAUGGAUGAAGCUAGCUACGUGAUGUUGCUUAAGUAAGUUAUUAAGUAAGCGUUACUUAGUAACGCUGCUGAUUGAGAAGGAGGACACAAUGCUGAGGUCUGCUAUAUUACCUCAUGAACGAUUAACUGCCACACUCUGCUAUCUAGCUACUAGGAGGAAUUUCGAAGAUUUAAAGUUUUCAACAAUAGUUUCUCCUGAGUCGUUAGGCAAAAUAAUUCCAGCGGCCUGCUAUGCCAUAUUUCAAGUUUUAAGAAACUAUAUGACUAUAUGAAGUCGUGUCAUCACGGUCAACGGAACAGAACUCGUAUUUUAAGAUAAGUACUUAAAUUGGAUUAAUUAAUGCAGAUGUUUGGUUUCUAAAAUCUUGCAAACGUCUUUCAGUUUUUCUAAAGUUUAUUGAUGUAUCUUUGGCAAGUAAAUCUCAAUUUGCCAAAAAGGCUGAAGUUUUUGCUAAGCAAAAAUGGCUAGAUUCAGAAAUCAAACAUUUAUAUAGUAAACAUAGAAGCAUACAUACGAGUACUUUUUAAAAAAUUUACUUUUAGACAAACUGAUUUAGAGUAUCAAGCAUGGGGCAAUUUUCAAAGAAAUAUGUUUGAGGUUAUUAACCACAAAUUUAUUAGCAAAUUUUCUUCACUAAACAAAAAACUAAAAAAGUUAGUCAGUGCGAAGGAUAAACCACAAAAGGAAAAACUCAUUAAUAUCGUUGAAAAUCAAUCCUCUCAGUCAUUUAACCCGUUUUUUCCCAAGUUUAAAUAAAUUAAAAUUACCUGUUAUGCCCGAGUUUUGCAAAAAACUUUUGAAAAUUAUAUUUUUAGAAAAAAAUCAAAUUAACUAAUUAUAUUUUUCUGUGGAAAUUUGUUUUUUUGUUUCUAAAUACUUUUUUUUUCUUAAAUUGAUGUUCCAUUUUUGGAAAACUGGGAACACAUGGGUGCAUUAAAACCAACUUUAAUCUUUAAGAACAAAAGUCAAGUUUAAUUUAAAAAAUCAUAAAAUAAUUAUUAAGUGGACACAUGAUAGUCUUUAAAACAAACCUCAUGUAAAUUGUGGUUACAUUUCUCACACAUCUUAGUCGAGUUUUUGUGACAUAGUGCGCACCUAUUCUGUUUUGUGGCUGGAAUAAUCCAAUGAUUCAAACCAUCGUACCUAAUUUCAUUAUGGUUUCGAGCCUCUAACGGCUUUGAUGUUUUAGGGCGCCGGGCACGAGUCCAAGCGAAAUGCGAAAAGACUCCACCAGGAUUUCUUGGAACGAACCCCAAUUCUAUAGUUGUGUAUAUUUUGAUCCAUUACAUCCGGUCCACUCCACCCAUAUAUUUAUUGUAUUGCCCGACUACAAAAGGCUGAGGAACCAGGCAUUUUUUUCUCACUGGAAAUCCACCGACUAACGUGACCAACAGGAUUCACCGCAUCGCAACUACUUACAAUUAGAACAGGACGGUUAUCAUUCCAUAAGGUAACUGUUAUUUGAGAAUUAGCGUCUGUAGAAUAAUCAAAGCUGCCUCUUGUACCCUUUUUUUCUUGCAUUUUAUUGCGCAAAGGACAAUUCUCUAAUCUAUUCCCGUUGACUGUACCUGAAUAUCCUACUCCGAUCUUCUGGAGCGAAUUGACUAAUUUUAGGGAGGAAAAAUAUCUGUCGCCAUAAAUUUUAAAUGGGACAUUUUUUGGGAGAUUCUCCAAAAGGGUCAUCACUACAGAUCCUCCUAAUCCUAGGUCCAUGUAGCGCCUAUUUGCUUGUUUACCUUGAUAGGGAUUAAAUUGUAUUAGGUACCCAGAUUUUUCACACAAGGACCAUAUUUUAUAGCCGUAUCUAAUAGGUUUACCUUUUAUGUACUGCUUCGCUCCAUGCCUUCCGAAAUAUGGUACCAUACUUUCAUCAAUAGACAGUUUUUCGUUAAGCGGAGCAUAAGACAAAAAUCGCUCAUUCAUCAUGUUGAAAAGUGGUUGCAACUUCGCAAAUUUAUUGUCUUGUUCUAAAUCAUUAUUAUCAGCACAAUGCGCAAAUUUUUUUAACAAUUCAAACCGAUUUUUUUGCAUUGCGUUUGCUACUAAUGGAUUGUAUGUAUCAGUAUCCACCUCCCAAAGCAUACGCCAUCUUGGAACUUGUAAAUGCCCGGAUAAAUAUAAAAUACCAAUAAAGCAUUUUAGUUCUCCUUCAUCAGUACUAAAAUUAUGAUUGCCUUUUUGUCUAAGAGAACAAAUUAAACAUUUCUACUGAAUAAUUACAUAUUUCCAUAUCAAAAAAUGAUUCAAAGCACGCAAAGCAUGUGGAAAUAUGUCGACAUUUGCGCCAGGCUCUUUCGGAGAAACAAAUUGUGGGAAGGAGUUAUUCAAUUUCACUUUUUUUCAGCUUCUUUCUAAAUUUGUUCUGUUUAUAUUAGCUUGGGUUACCAAGCGAGCUAAAGGUAUAUUAUCACUAUCGUCGCUUGCAUUAUCAUCAGAUAAUUCAGGAGUUAUCGUUUAGGAUAGAAUGGCCUGAGGUUCCUAGUUGCGAAUCGAUUGCGAAGAUUUCCUCAAUAUUUUUUUAUCCUGAUCAUUAUUUCCAAUGUAAACUACUCCAUUAAUGUUCUUUAUUUUAGCACAAGCUUCUGACUGCAUUUGACGACCACUAAGGUGAUUUACAUUAGCUGAAGGAACUUCAUCAUCAUCAGAAUCCUCUUCAGAAUCCCUUCCAUCGUUUGGAGUUGUGAUAAAAACAUCUGCAGCCCAAAACUGCUCAUCUUCAACUAAAUCAAUUAGUUCUUGGGUCGUGUAAUACCUACAAUAAAAAUAAAAAAUUAUGUCUCCGUUUGUUCCCAGUGUUCCAAUAUAGGAACAACCUAAAAUGAUCAAAUCAUUUAGUAACUUUCAAUAAUAUUCGUAUUGGGUAUAUAAAAUAUCUUGAAUUACAUCACUUAUAAUAAAUUCUUUGCAGUAGAACAAUUUAAUUAUCAAAACUAUAAAAAUUAUACUUACUUUUUUAACGCAAUAUUGUAAACAUAAAAAAAAAUCAGUAAUUAACACACUAAAUGCGGAAAAUUUUCAAAAACGCACAUCAAACCUUCUCUUAUGCUAGCCAGAACGACACUAACACGACCGCGCGACGGAAAGAUAGUUAAGAGCACGCUUCUCAGAAAAGAGAGGGGGACAACGUGGUCAUUCCGAUUUUGGAACACCGGGACAAUAAUGACAUUUCCAAUAUCGGAACUCUGAGAAAAAACGGGUUAAUGAGAAAGAACUUGAUGUUCUCAAUAAGGGUUUACAUUUUGCACCAGUUUGAAAUUGCAAAAACAACCUAAAGGAGAUUGUAGUAAGUGUUGAAUCAUCAAUUCAGUACUUGCCAGAACCUUCGAAAGGUUUUGCUAGAAAAACGAUUCGCAACCAAAUUACAAAGAAUCUUACCAAAUCAAAAAAACACAUCGGGUUCUAAUAUUGUUUAACGACUAAGAGAAAAAGAUUGUUUCUAUUUAAAAGCUGACAAGGGAAACAAAGUUGUUAUUUUAAACAAACCAAAAUAUUUUUAAUGAGUUGAUGAUCUUAUUGAAUAUGGCCCAUAUAAAAAAAUUUCUAAAAAGCCCUUUAUCAAAAAUGAUUUCGCAGGUUAAGACAGCGUUAACUGACUGCAAAAACCUUGUUUUCUCUUCAGAAAAAUGCAAGUUACAACUUUCGAACCCAACAAUUCUAAAAUUAUAUUGUUUACCAAAGAUUCAUAAACCUGGCAAUAAAACGAGACCAAUUGUCUCCACUAUAGGAUCUCCAACUUUUUAAAGUUUUUAGUAAAGCAGUUUGAGAUAUUAAAAUUACCUUAUUAAUGUUUUUCAGUCAAAAACAGCCAACAGUUUAUUUCAAAAGUCAAUAAUUGAAUUCUAAAUGAAAAUAAAAUUCUUGUUUCUUUCGAUGUAUCUUCUUUGUUCCCAGGCACUCCUAUACCAGAAACUUUGGAAUAUCUGAUUGAACGUCUGGAAAGUAAUGGUUUCGGUAAUAUCCAAGAAAUAAUUAAAUUAACAAAACUUUGUAUGUCACAAAAUAUUUUUCAAUAUAACAACUCAUACAAUAAAUAAGUGGAAGGUACAGCUAUGGGUAAUUGCUUCUCUCCCUUCCUAGCAAAGAUUUUAAUGGACCAUUUUGAGUUAAAUGCAAAAAAUACAUUCCAUUGCUUCCCACAAGUUUGGUUAAGAUAUGUUGAUGAUGUGUUUGCUGUGUUCGACAAAAGCAAAUGCAACAUUGAUCAUUUUGUAGAACAACAUAAAUAACUGUUUUCCAUCUAUUAAAUUUACCUUCGAACAAGAAACAAAUAACCAACUUCCAUUCUUAGAUACUCAUGUCAUCAAAAAUAAUAAUAAGUUAGAAUUUGAUAUUUGUAGAAAAGAAACAAAUACUUUUAGAUACAUAACUAGUGACUCUAACCAUUGUUUUCAACAUAAAAUGGCUAGCAUGCAUUUCUUGGUACAUCGUUUGGUCUCAUUUCCUUUAAGUAAUAGCAGAUUUGAUAAAGAAAAAGCAAAAAUUAAAAUCAUUUCUAGGGUCAAUGGUUAUUACGAUAAGAUUAUUGAUAAGCUGAUUAGAAGACAUCUUAAAGUUCUUUUUAAAUCUUAAAAACUAUACCAAAUUUCAAAAAGAUGAAAAUAAGCAAACUUUUGUUGCAAUACCAUAUGAUCCUAUCUUGACGAGAGGCUUUGAUAGGGUUUUCAAAGACUUAGGUCUAAGAAUGGUCUAUCAAAGUUACGAAAUCUUUUAGAAAACCCAAAAGAUAAAGUAAAGACUGUAUAAAUUGAUUGUAAUAAAAAGUAUAUAGGACAAACCAGAAGAUCAAUCAAUGUUAGAUUUAAAGAACAUGUAGCUUAUGUGAAAUAUGACGGAGUUGAAAAGUGAAGUGUGGCUGAACAUGUUUUGAACACUGGUCACUUUGUAGGAAUAGACAACUUAAAAUUACUUAAACCAGUUAAUAACAAUAGAAAACUAGAUGCAUACGAAAGUUUAGCAAUAUUAAAAAUAAAAAAACAUUCUUAGCAGGGAUAAAGGUCCAAUCCCUUAUAGUCAAUUAUAUAGUUUAGUUAGUGUUUUAAGAUUCCACUCUAUUAGUUACAUCAUUAGUAUAUAAGGAGAUUUGUAAGUAGUUUUAGUUUAGUUUUAAUCUUCUCCCGAAGAUGCUAACAUCGUUAGCGAAACACGUGUCGAGAUUUAAAUAAAGAGUUUUGGUUAGUGGUAAAACUGUCUCGUAAUUUGAGUAUAUUCCGUGAAGAAAAAACAAAAUAAAUCAAUAAAGUAUUUUCCUGCCUAUUAUAUUAUAGAUGAGUAUGGUCACAAACAGAUUGUCAAUAUAAAGAACCUUCUACAUGACUGAUUAGUCCUCUUUAUUUGGUUGAUAAUUUCCAAAAAAUGAUUUAAUUAUAUUUUCUAAAUGGGGCUGAGAUAAAACUUGUGCUGAAGUUGUAUUGUUAUUUGAUUGUCAAAUAUUUAAACUAGGUUGCAUUUCACGCAGUGAAGGUCCAUAAUGAAUAAGUUAUGGAAUGUGGUAACUGGUAUUUAUCUUGCACGUAAGUAUGGCAUUGAUUGGAUUGAUUAAUAACGGAAUUCCUGUUACUUGUGGUAGCUAACUGGGAAUAAAUUUGAUUUCUUGAGCCAUCAGUUGCCGAUUUAAUAAUCCUGGUAUAUUUAUCAAUAUUGUCCAUUUCAGCUUUAAACAAUAAAUCGUUUAUAAGCUUUUCUGUAUAAAGCCUAGUUUCUUUUGAUAACGUUCUUAAUUUUGCUCCAACAUUUUUUCCAAAAAUAUUACAUGGAUUAUCCAUAUUAGUUGCACUAGUACGUAGCCUAUUUCCAACCAUAGUUAUUACGACAUCCUCUUUCUGAUCACUUUUCCCUUUUUAUUGUUUACGUGAACUUUUACUGGCAGUUGAUGUAGGUGUAAAGUCUCUAUCAUGUAUUGUUGUGCGAGAAGUUGUAGAUGCAUGCGAUAUUGGCCUUGGAGAUGAAGUUUGAUUUGACUCAUCAUCGUCUUGAGUUUCCUGCAAUCGUAAUAAUAGUGGUUGUUUUUUUUCAGUUUCCUUCGACAGGGCAUGAAUGGUUACAAAUUGCAAGUGACUUUGAAAAAAAAUGUAAUCUUGUUAGUUGUACAGGAGUAGUUGAUGGAAAACACGUGAAUAUUAUUCCGCCUGCUGGAAGUGGGUCAUAUUUUUAUAACUAUAAGGGGGCGCAUAGCUUAGUAUUACUGGCAGUAGUCAAUGCUAAUUUGGAAUUUAUUAUGUGUGAUAAUAAAUUCGGAAAUAAAUGGUCUCAUAUCUGAUAAAGGAGUUAUUGAAUACAACCGUUUCUAUAACAAACUUAAAAAUGGCCAGUUGCGUUUACCGCCACCAACGAAACCACGAAAUAGUAAUACAUUGCUGCCUUUUGUUUUUAUUGCGGAUAAAGCGUUUACACUUCGCUCGGACUUUUAAAAACCAUUCAGUCAAAAAGAAGUAAAUAACGAAAAAAACAAUUUUAACUAUCGACUAUCGCGAGCAAGAUGUAAGGUGGAAAAUGCUUUUGGAAUUUUAUCAGAUCGAUUUAGAAUUUUUCACACAAAGAUUUCUGUUAACUUAGAUGCAAUUGACAAAAUAGUUAUGGCAACCUGUACAAUACAUUUGUACUGUACAAUUUUUUAAGGCGGUGAUAUGCUACGGUAUAUUCGCCAGAAUGUAAUUUGUACAAAGAAAAUAUUGACUAUAGGUCUAUUGAAUUGGACAUACAAUCAACUCAUAUGAAUGAUUUACGACAGGGCCAUAACCGAUGUCCAUACAAUGAAGCAAAAAAUGUAAGGGAGCUGUUUAUGAAUUACUUUAAUAAUGAAGGUGCCCUAGAAUGUAAACAACAAAUUUUUUUUUGAAAACAAUUUUAUAUUACUCAAUAAUAUACAUAUUAUUCUAUUUAUAAUAAGUCUCUAAACAGUGCUUGUAGCUCUGGCCUCGAGAUUAAUACAAAAAUUCACAUAUGAAACUAGUGUACACAAUAAUCAUAGGUAGGUUAUAUUAAUUAAUUAUAAUUUAAAGUAAAUUAUAAAUAAGGUAUCUCAUUACAUAACUAAUUUAUACUAAUUUUACAACUUGACUGAUUAAAUAGAAAAAUAUUCGUUGAGUUUUGUAACAAAUGUUUUAAAUAUUUGAAUAUUUCUUAAAUCAUUAGGUAGCCUAUUAAAUGCUUUAGAUGCAGAAUACAUUGGGCUAUUCAUUCCAAUCAUUGUUCUAUUGUAACUAAUAUAUAAAUUUAAUUGACCUCUGGUAUUGCGUCUAUGAACGUCGUUUGAGAAUGUAAAAUUUAUAUUGCAUUUAAUUUUUUUGUUUAUAAUUUUAUAUAUGAGUUUACAUUUUUCGAACUCCAUUAACUGAUUCAAUUUAAAAACUUUAAGCUCCCUAUAUAGAAAAUCUGUAUUUGUAAGUAUAUUAUAUUGAAACAAUAUUUUAAGGACCUUAUUUUGUAAAAUUUGGAUAUUGUCAAAUUUUGUUUUAGAACAUGUUCCCCAUAUAGGCAUCAAAUAUCUAAAGUGGGACAAAAAGAAAGCAUUAUAGAUAUUCAUUUUUGUAUUAUUUGUUAGGUAGCUUCGGCUUUUAUAUAUACAGGGUAUCAUAGAAUUUAUUUUGGAUGUAAUUUUGUUUAUGUGAGUUUGCCAAGUCAAUGCUUGAUCAAUAUUUAAACCAAGAUAUUUAAUGGAGGCAACUUUCUCUAGGCUAAUUCCAUUUAUGUUUAGUUGAAUAUUAUUUACUUGUUUGUUUUUUUGUUUAAACAGCAUAUAUUUGGUUUUGUCGACAUUUAUUUUUAACCUGUUGUAAACUAGCCAUUUAAAGUACAAGCUCAGAUCAGCAUUGAUAAAUUGCGCUAACUCCUCUUCAUUUUCACCUUCAUAUACAAGGGCCGUAUCAUCUGCAAAAGUAAAAUAUCGAGCACGUAACCUGGCAAAUUUUAGACUUAAUACGUAUAAAAGAUAUAAUAAGGGUCCCAAUACAGAGCCUUGAGGCACUCCAUAUUUAUUCGAAAACAAUUCACUAGCUACUCCCUCCCAGUAAACAUAUUGACUUCUAUCUUGUAAGUAGGUUUGAAUCAGUUUCAAAAAGAGUUUUCCAAAUCCCAUUAGCCUAAGCUUUUUUAAUAAAAUAUCAAAACUUACUACAUCAAAGGCUUUCUGUAAAUCAAUGAAUACCACAACUACAAUUUUUUUGCUAUCUAGGGACUUUGAAAUACAACUAAUAAAGUCAAAUGUUGCCGAAAGAGUACUGCUAUUUUGAAUAAAACCAUACUGAUGACUAUCCAGCAAUGUUUUUUUUUUUAUGUACAAAAGACAUUACUCUUUUUUUAAUAAUUUUUUCUAUUAUUUUUGAUAAAGUAUUAACAACAGUAAUGGGUCUAUAGUUAUUCAUUUGAUCCUUAUCGCCAGAUUUAAAUAUGGGAGUAAUUUUAUUUUUUUUUAAUUCAUUGGGAUACACACCAGUGUUAAAGACAUUAUUUAUUAGUUUCGCUAAUAUAUUUAUAACAUAAUCUUUUAAAUUAAUUAUGUCCAACACUGUUAUGCCAUCCUCGCCUGGAGAACAAUUCCGCCUUAAUCCCAUGAUGAUUUCACAAACCUCAUCACAAUUUGUUGGUGAAACAUUCAACAUACUAUCACAGUUAACUUCAUCAAAUAUAUUUUCGUCAUCAAUAUGUUGAGUCUGGUUUACAAGUUUAUUAACAAUACUCUCUCCGACUUGGGAAAAAUGUUUGUUUAAACAAUUAACAAUAUCUUUUUUUUCUUUUAUAAUUGUUCCAUUUAAGGUAAGAGAAUUUAUUUGAGUAGUGUUUGAUUUAUUUUUAAAAAACUUGUUUAUAAAUUGCCACUGUUUUUUUUGACUGCCGCCUGCAUGUUCCCAUUCUUUGCGAAAAUACUGAUUUUUUAAUGCUUUUAUUUUAUUUGUUAUUUUGUUUUUAAUUGUACGAAAUUCUUGAUCAUAUAACGCACUACCAGGGUUUUUUAUUUUUCGUUUGUAUAUAAAGUCGCGUUUUUUCAUCAUUUCUAGCACCUCCUCAUUGAUCCAUGUAUUAUUUUCUCUUAUCCUAAGUGAUUUAAUGCGUUGAGCUUCAUUUUUUGAUUUCUGGAUCAAAUCGGUCAGUUCCUGAAAUGAUGAUAUGCUUACAUUUUGAAUAUUUUGUUUAAAUUUAUACACAAAUUUUUUAUAAUCAAUGCUGCUAAUCAUAUAUUUUAUCUUUGGUUUAUAUUCUUUGGUGGCAUAAUUUAUAUAAAAUAACAAUUUCUUAUGAUCAGAAAAAGAACAAGAACUAACAUUUAGGUUUUCGAUUAAAUUCGAGCUGCCCUCUGACAAAACAUGAUCUAUAAUAGUAUGACUUCGCUCUGCAAUGGUGGAUUGAUUAAAAAUUAUUGUAUUAAAACAAAUUUUAUAAGAUUAAAACAGUUUUAAUCUUCUCUCGAAGAUGCUAACGUUGUUAGUGGUAAAACUGUCUCGUAAUUUUAGGAUCACACCAAAGGUUCCAACCAUAGGACUAUUUAGAAAUAUGUUUAAAUGUAAUAAACUAGAAGAUGAAUUUAACUUUUACUUACCUCUCCUUCAUCCUCGUUUCCUUGGUCACUUUUCUGUUCACUUUCCCAAUCAUUAAUAUUGUUGACUGAUGUUCGAGGAACUUCUUGAUCUUUGCGAAACAAAGUAAAUCGUAAUACCAUAUACGCGUCAGUAGAUUUCAUUGAUUCAUGCGCGUCGAUGAAUUCAACUAAAAACAGAAAACUUCUGCGACGCACAUGCAUGUUACAGUUUGCCCACACACUAGCGAGCACGAGCGUGUAUGUCAUACAUGUAUGACAGCCAUAUUCGUCAGUCUGUGGCCACUUUAAGUAAUCGGUGAAGCACUACCGUUUACACUUAGGUAUUUUGGCACCCAAGAAGGACAUUGGCCAAUCGUGUAUAUAUUUUUUUAUUAUGUGAUUGUGAAGAAACCUGCUUUUGCAUCAUUUAGAAGUUUUUAUUGUUAUUUUAAGUAUUUUCAUUAAAGGUUAGAAAAAUGAUCUGA